rnacentral:lncRNA from 1 species
UAUUUUCAGAACUCUACCUCUUGGAACAUUCCCUCUCAGAUUCCAACCACGAUACUGAAAAAACCAAAGCCCAGUCUAGCCAUUUAAAGAGAACACAUGGAAGUAAACCAAGAACCCAGCCAAUAUCCCCAGAAUGAAGUCUAAAAAAAAAAAAAAAAAAAGGAUCAUCUUAGUAAAUGCAGACAAGAGCAUUUGACGAAGUCCAACUGUCUUUCGUGAUAAAAGCACUCAGCUAGGAACAGAAAGAAACAUCCUCAGCCCAAUGAAAGACAUCUGCACAAUUCUCAGAAAUUGACAAGAUGAUCCUAAAAUUUAUCUAGAAACACACGGGACACAGAACAGCCAAGAUAAUUUUGAAAAAUAAGAACGAAGGACUCAUACUUCUUGAUUUCAAAACUGACUACAAAGCUACAGUAAUUAACACUGUGUGAGACUGGCAUAAGGAUAUGCAUAUAGAUUGAUAAAAUAAAACUGAGAAGCCCUUGAGAAAUAAACCUUAUAUAUAUGGUCAACUGAUUUUUGACAAUAAUGACAAGAAAAUUCAAUAGGAAAAGAAGUUAUUUCAACAAAUGGUACUGGGACAACUGGAUACACACAUGCAAAAGGAUGAAGUUGGAACCUUACCUCAUACCAUAUGCAAAAAUUAAUGCUAAAUGAGUCAUAGACCUAUAUAUAAGAAUUAGAACUAUAAAACUUAUGGAAGAAAAUAUAGGUGUAAGUCUUUGUGAUUUUGGAUUACACAAUGGUUUCCUAGAAUGACUCUUAAGCACAAGCAACCAAAUCAAUAAGUUGGAUUUCAUCAAAAUUGAAAACUUUUGUGCCUCAAAGGACAUUAUCAAGACAAUGAGAAGAGAACACAUAGAAGAACACACUUACAAAUCAUAUAUCUGAUACAUAUCUGCUUUCCAAAAUAAGUAAAAACUUUUAUAACUCAAUAAUAAAAACACAAGUAACCCAGUUUAAAAAUGGGCAAAAACAAAGUUGUUAAACUUCAUGAGUUACAGAAAAAUGCAAUGAAAAACCAUAGUGAGAUACCAUGUCAUACCCACUAGUGUGGCUAUGAUCCAAAAGACAGAUUAAAUAAUAACUAUUGGCAAACAUGUAGGAGAUUGGAACCUUCACAUAUUCCUGGUAGAAAUGGAAAAUGGUGCAGUCACUUUGGAAGACAAUUUGGCAGUUUCUCAAAAAGUUAAACAUAGAAUUACCAUAUUGAGGAGUAUGGCUGCAGGCCAAAAUCCUAUGUAUUAUCUUUCAGGCAGGACCCUAGACAGUUACAAGGCUUUGCCCGGCAGACCUCAUUGGGGGAAACUGCCAUCUCCACAUCAGACUUGGUACACAGCUAGUAUGUUACAGC